UGGUAAAGGGUGGGCUGAAUUUAAAAGUUCACCCUAGAGGGUCAACCUAAUUUCUGUACAUUUUGAAUUGUAAUCCGAGCUUUUUUUCCAUUCUCGGGUUUAUUAAUAAUAUUUAAAUUUUUUCUAAAAAAGAAGAAAAGAAAAAGCAUUCCAUGAAAAAUAUUUUCAAGUGAAUCCGUAAAGGUAAUUACUUUCUAAACAGGCCCAGAUUUCUAAUGGCCUAACUAUAACUAAAAACCCGCAGCUCUAAAAGGCAACCCUAUUUAUCUGUUGACCUCUCAUAAGCCGAAUUAACGUAUCUAACUUCCAUCAAUCCUUGAAAACAAACCAUGACUCCCUACAACUUCGUCGAUUUAGCAGAUGCUCCGACAGCCGUGUUUUGGGUCACUAAUUGUUGCCCAGUCCCUGCUGACUUACAUUUUAUUCAUGUACUGCGCAACAUUAAACGAUGCCUAUAUGAAAGUUCCUAUAAUGGUAGGGUUAAAUUCAUGGUUUAUGAUAGCACAAGUCCUUCCCUUAUCAAUGAAAAUCCCCCCGUAGAGAAUCUGGUGAUCACUCGCUUCCCGGAAGAUCGCCGUCUCUCCGAUAUCAAACAGCGACAGACCAAAAAAAGAAAAGAGACAAAACAAGGAACAAUACAACAAGCUGUAAAGCUAAAGAUUUGCAAAAGCUAAAGAGUAGGGUGGGAAAGAAAGUUCCGGAGGCACUAGUCCUCCUACUCCGACGAACAUGAGUAUCUCCUCCGAAUUGGACCGCAUCGUUGACUUCACCGGGUUUGGCAUGUCCGAAACCAACCCACGGAUCCGUCGCCGAUGAAGCUUCUAAGGCUGAGCCACUCCCGGAGGAACCCCGCGGCCACAACACCAGAUCCAAAGACCUAGCCUCAAAACUCAACCUUCGCUCCUCUCGUUGACGCCUCGCCGCCUCCAUACCUCAGUCAAUCGCGCUCCUCGCCGCCUUCAUUUUCAAACCUUGUUAUUUGAUAUAUGUAGGAGGUGAUCCAUUUGAGAAGUUUAAGAAGAUUUUUGUCGAUAUCAUGGAAUGGUCGAUUGAUAAUCCUACUCCUGCCAAUAUUCUUUACAUCUCAGGAGACAUGAAUACUUAUAUGACCCGUCUCAUCAACCAAUUAGGUGUGGUCUGCUACAACACGCUCUUAUGCGUACGAGAAAGCCUUACUGCCUUUCCUACUACCGGAGGACGUCCAUUCAUCACCAGAGAUUUUUCAUUCGUCAGCAGCGUGUGGUCCUGGUUUGAGCUAUCUCAUGGAAGACCGCCUUUCUUCAACCGGUUUUCUGAUAAGCCGAGUGUUCCCCUUGGCCUUCUUAAAGAAGAAGAAAAGGUCACCAAGGCAAAGGAAGGUGCUCGUGGAUCCUGUUAAAAGUGAAGACUGCCUUUCUUCAACCUGUUUUCUAAUAGGCUGAGAGUUUCCUUGGUCACCAACGCAAAGAAUGGUACUCGUGGAUCAUGUUAAAAGUGGCUAAAGGAAGAUCUAUAGAAGAAAAAGCAAAUACUCUGGCUUGAGAGAGAAGAUUACUAAAUAAGUUGGUGUUGUAAAACAUUGUCUUUUACUUAUCUGAACUUUAUGCCUUGGUUUGUAUUUAAAACCUAUCCAUACAUUGGAUAAGGUAUCAAAACAUAUAAUUAAAACAAUGUUAAUAUCA